GGUGGCUCAGUGGUAGAGCGCUUGCCUAGCAUGCAUGAGGCCCUGGGUUCGGGCUCGAUUCCUCAGCACCA
rnacentral:tRNA from 1 species